rnacentral:rRNA from 1 species
AUUGGACGCUGGCGGCAUGCUUUACACAUGCAAGUCGAACGGUAACAGGCCUUCGGGCGCUGACGAGUGGCGAACGGGUGAGUAAUGCAUCGGAACGUGCCCAGUCGUGGGGGAUAACGCAGCGAAAGCUGCGCUAAUACCGCAUACGAUCUAUGGAUGAAAGCGGGGGACCGUAAGGCCUCGCGCGAUUGGAGCGGCCGAUGUCAGAUUAGGUAGUUGGUGGGGUAAAGGCUCACCAAGCCAACGAUCUGUAGCUGGUCUGAGAGGACGACCAGCCACACUGGGACUGAGACACGGCCCAGACUCCUACGGGAGGCAGCAGUGGGGAAUUUUGGACAAUGGACGCAAGCCUGAUCCAGCAAUGCCGCGUGCAGGAAGAAGGCCUUCGGGUUGUAAACUGCUUUUGUACGGAACGAAACGGUUCUCUCUAAUACAGGGGGCUAAUGACGGUACCGUAAGAAUAAGCACCGGCUAACUACGUGCCAGCCGCCGCAGUAACAC